rnacentral:rRNA from 1 species
UACGUAGGGCGCAAGCGUUAUCCGGAAUUAUUGGGCGUGAAGCGCUCGUAGGCGGUGUGUCGCGUCUGCCGUGAAAGUCCGGGGCUCAACUCCGGAUCUGCGGUGGGUACGGGCAGACUAGAGUGAUGUAGGGGAGACUGGAAUUCCUGGUGUAGCGGUGAAAUGCGCAGAUAUCUGGAGGAAUACCGGUGGCGAAGGCGGCAUCCUGGACCGACAUUGACGCUGAUGAGCGAAAGCUAGGGGAGCAAACGGG